rnacentral:rRNA from 1 species
CUCAAAGGAAUUGACGGGGGCCCGCACAAGCGGUGGAUUAUGUGGAUUAAUUCGAUGCAACGCGAAAAACCUUACCUGGCCUUGACAUGCCACUAACGAAGCAGAGAUGCAUUAGGUGCCCGAAAGGGAAAGUGGACACAGGUGCUGCAUGGCUGUCGUCAGCUCGUGUCGUGAGAUGUUGGGUUAAGUCCCGCAACGAGCGCAACCCUUGCCAAUAAUUGCCAUCAUUCAGUUGGGCACUUUAUUGGGACUGCCGGUGACAAACCGGAGGAAGGUGGGGAUGACGUCAAGUCCUCAUGGCCCUUAUGGCCAGGGCUUCACACGUAAUACAAUGGUCGGUACAGAGGGUUGCCAACCCGCGAGGGGGAGCCAAUCCCAGAAAGCCGAUCGUAGUCCGGAUUGCAGUCUGCAACUCGACUGCAUGAAGUCGGAAUCGCUAGUAAUCGCGGAUCAGCAUGUCGCGGUGAAUACGUUCCCGGCCCUUGUACACACCGGCCGUCACACU